CCCCUAGACGUUCUGGGCUGCACGCGCGCUACAAUAAUACGCACAGCGAGUAUCACCGAGCUCGAAAGGGCAAGGUAAACAAUAGAAAAGGUACUGUAAUGGUUAUAGAUCCUUGUAAUUAUUGAUCUUCAACGAGGAAUUCCUAGUAAGUAUGUGUCAUCAUCACGCACUGAUUACGUCCCUGCCCUUUGUACACACCGCCCGUCGCUACUACCGAUUGAAUGGUUUAGUGAGAUCUUCGGAUUGGCGCCACUGCGGCUCAGCAAUGGGCUCGGUGGAUGCCGAAAAGUUGAUCAAACUUGAUCAUUUAGAGGAAGUAAAAGUCGUAACA
rnacentral:rRNA from 1 species